rnacentral:rRNA from 1 species
GACGAACGCUGGCGGCGUGCUUAACACAUGCAAGUCGAACGGAAAGGCCCUGCUUUUGUGGGGUGCUCGAGCGGCGAACGGGUGAGUAACACGUGAGUAACCUGCCCUUGACUUUGGGAUAACUUCAGGAAACUGGGGCUAAUACCGGAUAGGAGCUCCUGCUGCAUGGUGGGGGUUGGAAAGUUUCGGCGGUUGGGGAUGGACUCGCGGCUUAUCAGCUUGUUGGUGGGGUAGUGGCUUACCAAGGCUUUGACGGGUAGCCGGCCUGAGAGGGUGACCGGCCGCAUUGGGACUGAGAUACGGCCCAGACUCCUACGGGAGGCAGCAGUGGGGAAUAUUGCACAAUGGGCGGAAGCCUGAUGCAGCAACGCCGCGUGCGGGAUGACGGCCUUCGGGUUGUAAACCGCUUUCGCCUGUGACGAAGCGUGAGUGACGGUAAUGGGUAAAGAAGCACCGGCUAACUACGUG